UUGUGAAACAAACUUAAUAAUAUUGUAGCCCAUUAAACCUCUCUAGACAAGAGCC
rnacentral:rRNA from 1 species